rnacentral:rRNA from 1 species
CUACGGGACGCAGCAGUGAGGAAUAUUGCACAAUGGGGGAACCCUGGUGCAGCAACGCCGCGUGGAGGAUGACGCAUUUCGGUGUGUAAACUCCUUUUAUAUGUCAAGAAAAUGACGGUAGCAUAUGAAUAAGCACCGGCUAACUCCGUGCCAGCAGCCGCGGUAAUACGGAGGGUGCAAGCGUUACUCGGAAUCACUGGGCGUAAAGGACGCGUAGGCGGGUUGGAAAGUCAGGUGUGAAAUCCUACAGCUUAACUGUAGAACUGCACUUGAAACUUCUAAUCUAGAGUAUGGGAGGGGGAGAUGGAAUUAGUGGUGUAGGGGUAAAAUCCGUAGAUAUCACUAGGAAUACCUAAAGCGAAGGCGAUCUCCUGGAACAUUACUGACGCUAAGGCGUGAAAGCGUGGGGAGCAAACAGGAUUAGAUACCCCAGUAGUC